GCUGGGUGCAGUGGUGUAUACCUGUAAUCCCAGCAACUUGGGAGGCUGAGGCAGGGGGAUUGCAGUUUCAAAGCCAGCCUCAA
rnacentral:sRNA from 1 species